UGGCGGACGGGUGAGUAAUAUAUAGAUAACGUGCCUCUUAGUCUGGGAUAGCCAUUGGAAACGAUGAUUAAUACUAGAUACUCCUUCUUACCACAUGAUAAGUCGGGAAAGUUUUUUCGCUAAGAGAUCGGUCUAUAUCGCAUCAGUUAGUUGGUGGGGUAACGGCCUACCAAGACAAUGACGCGUAGCGGGUUUGAGAGGAUGAUCCGCCACACUGGUACUGAGACACGGACCAGACUCCUACGGGAGGCAGCAGUGAGGAAUAUUGCACAAUGGGGGAAACCCUGAUGCAGCAACGCCGCGUGGAGGAUGACGCAUUUCGGUGUGUAAACUCCUUUUAUGAGUCAAGAAAAUGACGGUAGCUCAUGAAUAAGCACCGGCUAACUCCGUGCCAGCAGCCGCGGUAAUACGGAGGGUGCAAGCGUUACUCGGAAUCACUGGGCGUAAAGGACGCGUAGGCGGGUUAUCAAGUCAGGUGUGAAAUCCUAUGGCUCAACCAUAGAACUGCACUUGAAACUGGUAACCUAGAGUAUGGGAGGGGCAGAUGGAAUUAGUAGUGUAGGGGUAAAAUCCGUAGAUAUUGCUAGGAAUACCGAAAGCGAAGGCGAUCUGCUGGAACAUUACUGACGCUAAGGCGUGAAAGCGUGGGGAGCAAACGGGAUUAGAUACCCCGGUAGUCCACGCCCUAAACGAUGAACACUAGUCGUCGGGGAGCUAGUCUCUUCGGUGAUGCACUUAACAGAUUAAG
rnacentral:rRNA from 1 species